rnacentral:rRNA from 1 species
GACGAACGCUGGCGGCGUGCCUAAUACAUGCAAGUCGAACGGUUUAGUUCCAAGAGGCUUGCCUUUUGGAACUAGACAGUGGCGGACGGGUGAGUAACACGUAGGCAACCUACCUGUCAAACCGGGAUAACCUCGGGAAACCGAAGCUAAACCCGGAUAAGCUCCUUUUUCGCAUGCAGGGGGAGUGAAAAGGUACGACCUGAUGACAGAUGGGCCUGCGGCGCAUUAGCUAGUAGGUAGGGUAACGGCCUACCUAGGCGAUGAUGCGUAGCCGACCUGAGAGGGCGCACGGCCACACUGGGACUGAGAUACGGCCCAGACUGCUACGGGAGGCAGCAGUAGGGAAUCUUCGGCGAUGGGCGAAAGCCUGACCGAGCAACGCCGCGUGAGUGAGGAAGGCCUUCGGGUUGUAAAACUCUGGUGUUUGGGAAGAAGGGAAAGGGUAGGACCGUUUGGUGACGGUACCAAACGAGAAAGCCCCGGCUAACUACGUG